ensembl:lincRNA linc-13 ncRNA
AUUCUUUGCCUUCCACAGGAUAACCUGAAAGAUGUCCUACUCAGAAUGGGAGUUCUUGAGCAAUUUUCACGGCGCAUUUUUCUCUACAUUGUCGUAAACUUUUUCAAGAUUGUGCAUGCAAAAGUGCGUCGCGGUGUUUGCGUCUAAUGCGCACACAUUGUCGACCGUAGUAAACACUUUUUAGUCGUUUUUUUUUCUACAGAAAUGAGGAUUUCAGUGGUUUUUAUUGAUUUUAAUGAAACAAAAUUCAUAGAAUAUUAAUAAAAUAUUUAUUAUUUG